rnacentral:rRNA from 1 species
UACAGAGGUGGCAAGCGUUGUUCGGAAUUACUGGGCGUAAAGGGCGCGUAGGCGGUUCGUUAAGUCCUGUGUGAAAUCCCCCGGCUCAACCGUGGAGGGUCAUUGGAAACUGGGGAACUUGAGUGCAGAAGAGGAAAGUGGAAUUCCAAGUGUAGCGGUGAAAUGCGUAGAGAUUUGGAGGAACACCAGUGGCGAAGGCGACUUUCUGGUCUGUAACUGACACUGAGGCGCGAAAGCGUGGGGAGCAAACAGG